GAAUACUUUGUUGGCUCCGACAUGGUCUGAUCAAUCGACGCCUUGGGAAUUACCAAUGCCGAGAAAUUUACAAACGUUCAAUUUGAUGAACAGAGCCAAUCAAGCGACUAGCGAGUCAGCAGCCAGCUCAUGAACGGGUCAGCUUAAUAAACACCACGUGACGGAUUGAUAUAAAUAGUGCAUACCCGCCACCACCAUUCUCAGAUACAUUUUGAAAUCCAUUCGUGCACAACAUCAAACUUGCAUUCCAUCCAAAAUGAAUCUGCGACUUGUUGUCAUUUUGGUGCUGUUGACCUUGGCCCUGUGCUUAAUGGUUGAAGGUGUCCCCGUCAUUGUCAAUGAGCGGAAAAAAGAGCAGUCCAUUGAAAGUCAACGCGGGCAGGACGAAAUGAAGCGAAAUUCAGGACGGGACAAUGCAGAUUGUUGGCAACCCAACCACAAUGUCAACGAUCCGGCGUGUUUGUGGAAUGCACUGUAUGAAUACUAGAUACACAUAUUCAUGGUAGUACAUGUCCACAUGGUAUUAUUUGUUUUUGCUGAAAAUAUAUUGAUCUGUUGAUACAAAAUGAA